rnacentral:rRNA from 2 species
AGCGGCGGACGGGUGAGUAAUGCAUAGGAAUCUGCCCGGUAGUGGGGGAUAACCUGGGGAAACCCAGGCUAAUACCGCAUACGUCCUACGGGAGAAAGGGGGCUUCGGCUCCCGCUAUUGGAUGAGCCUAUGUCGGAUUAGCUAGUUGGUGAGGUAAAGGCUCACCAAGGCGACGAUCCGUAGCUGGUCUGAGAGGAUGAUCAGCCACAUCGGGACUGAGACACGGCCCGAACUCCUACGGGAGGCAGCAGUGGGGAAUAUUGGACAAUGGGGGCAACCCUGAUCCAGCCAUGCCGCGUGUGUGAAGAAGGCCUUCGGGUUGUAAAGCACUUUCAGCGAGGAAGAACGCCUGGUGGUUAAUACCCGCCAGGAAAGACAUCACUCGCAGAAGAAGCACCGGCUAACUCCGUGCCAGCAGCCGCGGUAAUACGGAGGGUGCAAGCGUUAAUCGGAAUUACUGGGCGUAAAGCGCGCGUAGGUGGCUUGAUAAGCCGGUUGUGAAAGCCCCGGGCUCAACCUGGGAACGGCAUCCGGAACUGUCAGGCUAGAGUGCAGGAGAGGAAGGUAGAAUUCCCGGUGUAGCGGUGAAAUGCGUAGAGAUCGGGAGGAAUACCAGUGGCGAAGGCGGCCUUCUGGACUGACACUGACACUGAGGUGCGAAAGCGUGGGUAGCAAACAGGAUUAGAUACCCUGGUAGUCCACGCCGUAAACGAUGUCGACCAGCCGUUGGGUGCCUAGCGCACUUUGUGGCGAAGUUAACGCGAUAAGUCGACCGCCUGGGGAGUACGGCCGCAAGGUUAAAACUCAAAUGAAUUGACAGGGGCCCGCACAAGCGGUGGAGCAUGUGGUUUAAUUCGAUGCAACGCGAAGAACCUUACCUACCCUUGACAU